AUUGAACGCUGGCGGCAUGCUUUACACAUGCAAGUCGAACGGUAACAGGGAGCUUGCUCCGCUGACGAGUGGCGAACGGGUGAGUAAUAUAUCGGAACGUACCCAAGAGUGGGGGAUAACGUAGCGAAAGUUACGCUAAUACCGCAUACGAUCUAAGGAUGAAAGCAGGGGAUCUUCGGACCUUGUGCUCCUGGAGCGGCCGAUAUCUGAUUAGCUAGUUGGUGAGGUAAAGGCUCACCAAGGCGACGAUCAGUAGCUGGUCUGAGAGGACGACCAGCCACACUGGAACUGAGACACGGUCCGGACUCCUACGGGAGGCAGCAGUGGGGAAUUUUGGACAAUGGGCGCAAGCCUGAUCCAGCAAUGCCGCGUGAGUGAAGAAGGCCUUCGGGUUGUAAAGCUCUUUUGUCAGGGAAGAAACGGGAUUGGCUAAUAUCCAGUCCUAAUGACGGUACCUGAAGAAUAAGCACCGGCUAACUACGUGCCAGCAGCCGCGGUAAUACGUAGGGUGCAAGCGUUAAUCGGAAUUACUGGGCGUAAAGCGUGCGCAGGCGGUUUUGUAAGUCUGACGUGAAAUCCCCGGGCUCAACCUGGGAAUUGCGUUGGAGACUGCAAGGCUGGAAUCUGGCAGAGGGGGGUAGAAUUCCACGUGUAGCAGUGAAAUGCGUAGAGAUGUGGAGGAACACCGAUGGCGAAGGCAGCCCCCUGGGUCAAGAUUGACGCUCAUGCACGAAAGCGUGGGGAGCAAACAGGAUUAGAUACCCUGGUAGUCCACGCCCUAAACGAUGUCUACUAGUUGUCGGGUUUUAAUUAACUUGGUAACGCAGCUAACGCGUGAAGUAGACCGCCUGGGGAGUACGGUCGCAAGAUUAAAACUCAAAGGAAUUGACGGGGACCCGCGCAAGCGGUGGAUGAUGUGGAUUAAUUCGAUGCAACGCGAAAAACCUUACCUACCCUUGACAUGUCAGGAAUGCCGAAGAGAUUUGGCAGUGCCCGAAAGGGAACCUGAACACAGGUGCUGCAUGGCUGUCGUCAGCUCGUGUCGUGAGAUGUUGGGUUAAGUCCCGCAACGAGCGCAACCCUUGUCAUUAGUUGCUACAUUUAGUUGAGCACUCUAAUGAGACUGCCGGUGACAAACCGGAGGAAGGUGGGGAUGACGUCAAGUCCUCAUGGCCCUUAUGGGUAGGGCUUCACACGUCAUACAAUGGUACAUACAGAGGGCCGCCAACCCGCGAGGGGGAGCUAAUCCCAGAAAGUGUAUCGUAGUCCGGAUCGUAGUCUGCAACUCGACUACGUGAAGUUGGAAUCGCUAGUAAUCGCGGAUCAGCAUGUCGCGGUGAAUACGUUCCCGGGUCUUGUACACACCGCCCGUCACACCAUGGGAGCGGGUUUUACCAGAAGUAGGUAGCUUAACCGCAAGGAGGGCGCUUACCACGGUAGGAUUCGUGACUGGGGUGAAGUCGUAACAAGGUAGCCGUAUCGGAAGG
rnacentral:rRNA from 1 species